rnacentral:rRNA from 1 species
AACAAACGCUGGCGGCGUGCUUAACACAUGCAAGUCGUACGAGAAAUCCUGGGCAACUGGGAAAGUAAAGUGGCGCACGGGUGAGUAACGCGUGGGUAACCUACCCCUGAAUUGGGGAUAACUUUCCGAAAGGAGAGUUAAUACCGAAUAAUAUUUUAGCUUCCACGGAAGCUAAAAUCAAAGGUGGCCUCUGCAUGCAAGCUACUGUUCAAGGAUGGGCCCGCGUACCAUUAGCUAGUUGGUAGGGUAACGGCCUACCAAGGCUACGAUGGUUAGCUGGUCUGAGAGGAUGGCCAGCCACACUGGGACUGAGACACGGCCCAGACUCCUACGGGAGGCAG